rnacentral:misc_RNA from 1 species
UCUCCGUAGGUGAACCUGCGGAGGGAUCAUUACAGAGUUCAUGCCCUACCGGGUAGAUCUCCCACCCUAUGUUAUUAUUACUUUGUUGCUUUGGCGGGCCGUUAGGCUCCGGCCCGACUACCGGCCCCGGCUGGUAAGCGCCCGCCAGAGGACCCAAAACCCUGAAUAUUAGUGUCGUCUGAGUACUAUAUAAUAGUUAAAACUUUCAACAACGGAUCUCUUGGCUCUG